rfam:Struthio camelus australis contig59645, whole genome shotgun sequence.
UCAAAGGCUUUUAACUGCAGCCAUAAAGGAAAAACACAUUUAUUCAAAGCCACCAAACAGAAUUAAUGAAGCCAUGU